ACUGGCGGUGUGGUAUUAAGUUUUUACCCGGAGCGUCAAUCGAAGAGAGUGAGGUUAGGUGCGGACAACGAAGAUGGAAACAACAAUAGUAAUUCAAACAUGAACUGUAUAGUGCCGGGCUGCAUGAAUUGGCUCCAAAGAAAUCCCUUGGUAAACGACCAUAGGCUGCACUUUUGAAGAAGUUGCUCCAUGUCCUGAAGAGGAAGGACAUGCCAGCUCGAGCUAGCAUGAUCUACAGACAGCACUUCGCGGAGGCAGACUUCGCGAUGAAGGGCACUCUCAAUGCGGCAACCAGGAGUUUCUGAAUGGAAAGGAGUCAUAGGCCUAUUUAAUGCCCUCUGCUUGGGCCUCCAUUUGACAUUUAGAGGGUUAUGGUGUAGGGGUUACCGACUGACCAUCGCUGACUUCGGAGUCAAGCAAAAGUGACUGAACGGAGGAGGUGAUGUGAGUCAAUGCAAUGGAGCCCGAGAUAACGUUAACUUUAUGAAUGCUGUUGACGAGGCUAGCGUUAGACACUGGACAACUUUGUUGCAACUCUAGUUGAAGGAUGACAUCUUCAUCCCUGAAUGUUUUCAUCCAGGAGGCAGAGGAGGAAAGAACAGCAUGCCAAACUUGGUGCCAGAGUGUUCAUGUGCUGCGGUGGAGAAGAGGUCCACCACUAAAGAGCUCAGGGCCCGGCUAGACUGCGCUCACGACCAUCAGUAUACAAUGGAGUCCUUCCCCUAAUAGCAAAAUUUCACCAAUUAUUUAACUGGCAUAUCGGCUGCUGACUGAUUGAGUAACUUCUUCUGACAGGAAGUCCUUCAUAAGGAUUAGUGACACGUCCAAUACAUCACCAUCCAGACAGACUGACAGGAACCUCUGACUGGAUGUAAUACGAGAACGAACUCUGAUCUGGGGCAAUGAUCGGCUCAAACAUGAAUGGCUUCAGUAGGUUUAUUGGCUCCCUAACUAACAUUAUUUCAUUCUCUGUAAUAAACUCAUUCUCAGA